rnacentral:rRNA from 1 species
GUGGGGAAUCUUCCGCAAUGGACGAAAGUCUGACGGAGCAACGCCGCGUGAGUGAUGAAGGUCUUCGGAUUGUAAAACUCUGUUGUUAGGGACGAAAGCACCGUGUUCGAACAGGUCAUGGUGUUGACGGUACCUAACGAGGAAGCCACGGCUAACUACGUGCCAGCAGCCGCGGUAAUACGUAGGUGGCAAGCGUUGUCCGGAAUUAUUGGGCGUAAAGAGCAUGUAGGCGGGCUUUUAAGUCUGACGUGAAAAUGCGGGGCUUAACCCCGUAUGGCGUUGGAUACUGGAAGUCUUGAGUGCAGGAGAGGAAAGGGGAAUUCCCAGUGUAGCGGUGAAAUGCGUAGAUAUUGGGAGGAACACCAGUGGCGAAGGCGCCUUUCUGGACUGUGUCUGACGCUGAGAUGCGAAAGCCAGGGUAGCAAACGGGA